rnacentral:rRNA from 1 species
AUGGUAGGCACAAAAUUAUUAGCUCUUGGUUUUGUUGUCCUGUUGAGCAUUGGAUUGGCCAAUGCUGCAAGGGUGGCUAGGUACUCCAGUGCCUCUGGAGUAGGAACGGGAGGAGGAGAGGGUGAGGGGUCUCAGGGUGGUGCUGGCUCCGGUUCUGGGAGUGGAACUGGGUCAGGCGUGAGCUCUAGUAGUGGUGCACAUGCAAGCGGUGGAGGAGGAGGCGGAGGUGGCGGUGGUAGCCAAUAUGGUGGAGCUGGAUCUGGUAGCGGCAGUGGCUCGGGCUCGGGUUCUAGUCAAUAUAGUCAAGGAUCUUCCUAUCCUUAUGGUGGUAGCUAUGGUGGAUAUACUAGUGCCGGUGGUACCGGUGGCGGCGGCGGUGGAGGGCAAGCAAGUGGUUACCAUGGAUCUAGUGCAUAUGCACUACCAAAAUCGCCCCCUAUGCCGACGGCCAGGGCCGUCGGCAUAGCCCCGAGUCCCGUCGGGACAGACCUAUGCCGACGGCCCCCGUCGGCAUAG